rnacentral:lncRNA from 1 species
CUCCUCCAUUCUCUCUCUCAUAUUUUCCCCAAAACAAAACCCUGUGGCCUCUCUGUGUUUUCUAAUCUGAAAGCAUGUGAAAUCCUUAACAAUCAACUUUUUCAAAUUUAUCUCUCAAUGGCUGAAGACUCAUGUCUAUUUGAAUUGGGUGAAGACUCACAAACCGACAAUGACAAUAGUUAUCAAUCUGAACAGGUUUGUCACUUUUCUUCUCUUUUCAAUGGAAGACUAGAAAUUUCGUUUUAUUGAAUAUUGAUUGUAGAGAAUGAUAAAAUUUUAUACGAAUUUUGUUGAACAUUAAUUGUUGCGGCGUAGGGCUUAAAGUGGGAGUAUUGAGAUGUGAGGAUGGUAGCUAAGGUUAGAUUUAAAGUAUGGGUGUAGAGCAAGGAGGAUGAAAGAAUUAAACAUAUUCCCUUUACUUGUUUUGUUCGUGGGAAAGAAAUGUAGGUAACAAAAGUUUUUCUCUGUUGAUAUGUCCCUUUGAAUGGAACUAUAAACACUUGUAUUUUUGGGAUUGUGAGUGCGCAUCCUCAAAAAUUGAGAAAAAAUACUGAAAGUUGAUUAAAUUAGAUGUUAUACAGUCACAAAAGUUUGUCUUUUUAUUAUUCCAGAGUUAAGAAGAACAAAAAGAAAAAAGAUUUUUUACCCAAAUAUGAUGUGUUGUGUUAGGAAAGGAAAGGAAACUAUAGAUAUGUAAUGUUAUGGUGUCACUUGUUGUCUCACUCUAAUCCUAAAUUUUUUCCAGUUAAGAUAGGUGGAAUUAAAAUUCAUUUGGGUUAUUUGGAUUUGCUCUACUUUUAAGAAAAUUAUUUGCUUGAUGCAUGAAACCUCAUUAAACAGUGUUCAAAUCCAUCUCUUAUGAAUAGAAUGCUUUUGGUGAAGCCUCAUAUAUUUAAAUUGUCCUCUCUAAAGUGGAAUUUAUUACAAAGAAAGGUGCCUACAGAUGAUUAGAUCAAAUCCUUGAAAUUUUAUUUUGUCUUCUGAUAAUGUUGUGUUAGACCUUGUGAGGAAACUAUGGAUCAUAAAUUUUGUUGUUAUGCUAUUAGUGCUUCAGUAUUGCUGAAUUUUUCACAAUAGCUAUGUCAUAAACAUGUAGAAGUUGCCUACAGAUGAUUAGAUCAAAUCCUUGAAAUUUUAUUUUGUCUUCUGAUAAUGUUGUGUUAGACCUUGUGAGGAAACUAUGGAUCAUAAAUUUUGUUGUUAUGCUAUUAGUGCUUCAGUAUUGCUGAAUUUUUCACAAUAGCUAUGUCAUAAACAUGUACAAUAGGAUAUUAGAGUGAUUAUAAAGCAAUAUAUUUAACAUCUCACUUAAUAAUACAACAACAACUACCCAGUAAAUUCCCACAAAGUGGGGUCUGGGGAGGGUAAUAUGUAGACAGGCCUUACCCCUACCCGAAAGGGCAGAGAGGCUGUUUCCAAUCGAUCCUCGGUUCAGUGAAGGAAAGGAAAACAAAAACAAAAACAAAAACAAAAGAGCAUAUAUUAAAAUAGAACUAGCUAAUUAUAUUAAAAUUACUCAACGGAAUUACAAUAGAUUAAGAAGGGAAAUUACAAUAGAAGGGUAAUGGAAACCAACUGAUAGAGAGAAUAUAGAAGGAGAUGAAACAGAGUGAGAUGAGAAAAUAGAAUACUCAACCUGGUAAUAGCUUAUUCUACUACAUUUUUUAUUAGGUAUCUACAAUAUAUUGCAAUAUUUACAUACUGCGCAGUUACAAUAUGUUUUUUCUUAACUGGUGGUUUCAAGUAUUCAGAAAUCCUCUUCACAAGUUGAUUAUAUAAAGCUUACACUAUAGUCAUUUGUUGGAACUUGUGGAAGAUGAGAUGUGGUAGUUUCUAUCAGCAAGAAAAUAUUCUUUAAGAUUGGAACAUCAAAUUACACAUGAGGUCACUAUCUUAGCUCAAAAACAUCUUAUUUUGUCUAUCUCAAUAUCUCUUGGCUUGUUUUAAUUGAAUUAGAAGCAAUGUUAAACCAAAAUUUAAUUCGAUAAAAGUUGUUUGGAAAUACUUGCAUGGUUGAUUGAUUUAUGAAAUUUAACUCUAAUGCUUCCUCAAUCUUAAUAUUUGUAUUUGUUCUUAUUGUUUUGAGAAUAUGUUGGUUGUUUUGGGUAUUAUGAUCUGUCCAUGUCAUUUCAUUUAAGCUCAUUACACUAAAUAAUACAACAAGGAACAAAGGUUACCAAAAUUAAAAAUUCAAAGGCAAUUGCAUCUUUACUUCAACUGAAGUAAAUAAUAGGAUUGAAAAAGGUUAGAUGGUGCGGUGAAAAAAUAUUUCAAGAAAGACAACUGCAUCUUACUUUAACUAAAAGUUGUUAUUACAACAACAACAACUACCCAGUAUAGUCCCACAAAGUGAGGUCUGGGGAGGGUAAUAUGUAGACGAACCUUACCCCUACCCGAAAGGGCAAAAAGAUAUUAUCUUCAGAUAUUUUUUCACCUUGGCCAUUGAAAAUGGAUCUCUGUCUUUGCAUACAUUAGAGGAAAAUAAUUAUUCUCAUCAUUUUGUUGUAGUUCUGUUAUGGAUAUAAUUUAUUUAUUGGUUAAUUCGAUUCUCAUGAUUCAUCCCUGUCAAAGCUAAUAGUCCAGUAUAAUUAUCUCACACAGUUAGUGUAUCUAUUAUGAC